ACGUUAUUCGGAAUCACUGGGCUUAAAGGGUGCGUAGGCGGGCUUGUGAGUCAGGGGUGAAAUCCCACGGCCCAACCGUGGAAGUGCCUCUGAUACUGCGAGUCUCGAGGGGGAUAGGGGCAUGCGGAACUUCCGGUGGAGCGGUGAAAUGCGUAGAUAUCGGAAGGAACACCGGUGGCGAAAGCGGCGUGCUGGAUCCCUACUGACGCUGAGGCACGAAAGCCAG
rnacentral:rRNA from 1 species